AACUUCGUUCCCAGGGCUUUCGAGUGAGGACGGGGGGAGGGGAGAGACGAGAUCGUCUCUCCCCUCGUCCUCACUCGAAAGCCCUGGGAACGAGGUU